AUGGCCAACAUCCUCCACUGGGAUUUUUCCCCCGGGCUCAAAGUGGAGGAACAGAUCGGGCGCAGGUUUGGAUCCUCGGUUCACUAUGUUCAGGCUCCGAGAAUCAAGGAAUUUUUCUUGGUAGUUUCUUUCUCUUCUGCAUCCUUCCCCCUUUCUGCUGAUUCGGUGGGUUUGUUGUUGCAAUGUUGCAUCGGUGGAAUGGCAUCUGGGUUUAAGGUGAUCUAG
rnacentral:rRNA from 1 species